UCAAAAAGGUAAGAAAUAACAAGUGUUGGUGAGGAAGUGGAGAAAAAGGAACACUCGUGCACGGUUGGUGGGAAUGUUAAGUUGGUUCAGUCACUCGGGCGAACGAUAGGGAAGUUCCUCAAAAAAUGCAAAAUAGGACUGCCCUGUGAUCCAGCAACUCCACUGCUGGGUAUUUACCCAAAGGAACCGAAAACAGGACAUCACAACAAUAACUGAACCCCAUGUUUACCGCAGCAUUAUUUACGAUAGCUAAGAUAUGGCAACAACCAAAGUGUCCACGGAUGGAUCCACGGAUAAAAAAGAUGUAUAUGAUGGAAUCUUUUUUUGGCGACGAGAAAGAGGGAAACCUUGCCAUUGUGUGACAUCGUGGAUGGACAUUGACGACAUUGUUCUCAGGGAGAUAAUCUCCUGGAAGGACUCAUCUGAUCGGGUCAGGCCCAGUUGUUGAAAAAACAUAAAAUAAUAGCGAGCAAAUGAAAUGACAAAUAGGACAAAAGACUGAAUUUUGGAAUGAUAUUUGCACCGUAUUUUUUGGCAGAAGAUAACUGAUAGACCGACCUGCCUAGAAGUGAGACGAAGGUAGCCUGGUCAAACUCUGGUCCUAAACACAAAACCAAGAUGGCACAGAAGAAUCGUUCGUAACGUGUGGAACGGUGGUUGCUUCUCUAUCCCUCGGCCUGUCUCUUGAAAGUUAAUCCCAUUUGUGUCUGUCAGUUUUUCCCUGCCUGCAAACACACACACGUGCACGCACACGCACACCUUUGCCCAGACAGACCAACAAGGACCAGCAACUUGGUUGGCUGGCAGUAUCUGGAAGGUUUCCAGCCCCUUCUGUCAAUCCCCAAAGCGCUGUGCAACCUCACCAGAGGCGCGGUGUAUUUCUAGCCACAGAGGUUCAAGUUUUCGAUCACAAAGACACAAGGGCUGUGGAGAAAGGGGAAGUCUGAAGCCGAUGCCUUACGUGGGGGAUCCAGCUGGGAGGACGUUUAGCAACCGUAGAUUGGAGCUAAAGAACCACAUCUCCUUCUCGCUUCCUCAGAAGGGAAGGAACUGAGCUGACCGUGUGAAGAUGGUGUCAGUGCCAUCCGCCCUGGAGCCCCAGCAAGAAAACCAAGGAAUUUUUUUUCUCUGGAUUUGGCGUCCUUCUCCUGAGGGCGCACUGCUCUGAUUUCCAGCUCUGACUUCAGCCCUUUGCUCAAUGAUUCUACUUACGGUUCUCUUCCUGCUUGCGGCCCCCACCCUGCACAUCCAUACACCCACCCACAGGGGGCGGGUAUGUGCACACACACCCGCAUGCACCCAUUACGUAGACUUACCCCAGUUAUAUGCAUACGCAUACAUGCAAGACCAGACAGAUGCACAGCUACACAGACACUUGGAUAAACGCACUUACCCACACACGGGCACACACGUGCUGUCACACUCAGACACACACUGACACAUCUAUCCACAUCUGCAUAUACACGUUCUUAUAACGGUAAAUGCACACACUCUGGAACGCAGACACGCGUGCACAAAUACACGCAAUGUUCAGAGGCACACGUGUGCACGUGACUUCUUGGCAGAAAUUCCAACCCACGUGUCCCGUCAGUGGUGCAUGUGGAUUUUAUUUCUCGAUUGUUGUGGACCCUUUCCUUAUUUUCCUGCAAACUUAGGUAAUCGUAGUUCUGAAGAAGUGAAAAAUGCCAAACAGGCAGAGCACCUGAGCAGGGGACAGGGGAGCCCAACGCCAGCCCUCAUGAGGGAUGGGGGACAGGGAGGGGGCAGGGAGCUGUGCUGACACAGACUUUGGGUUUGGGUCGUGAAGCCCUUGGGUGGUCCUUGGUGGUCCUCACGGUGCCAGAGGCGGAGCAGACCCCACACCCCGGUUGCCCCGGUCUCUGCAGUGUUGAAUGCCUUGCGGUCACGGGAGCCACGUCCCCCAUCACUGUACGUGUCCUCGGACCCAGCUACCUUUCUGGGGAGGGCCACUUUUCCUGCAUCUAGAUCGCCCUGUGGUGUGUGGAUGUGGUCCACGCUCCCCCACCGUGGAGAUCCGUAGCAGCAGUUUAGGUAGCAACAUCGAACUUCCCAGCCUCAGGAAGGACAGAAGUCUUCCUCUCUACUUCGGCCGGACCCAGCUACACUUGGACCGGGGAAUGCGAACAAUCACCGUGGCUCUUGCGCGAAAUUCCCCUGUGUACAUCAAGAGCGGGGUUGGUGGAGCGCCCGGGUCCCGGGGCGGGUGCCAGCACAGGCUGGCGUCAGGAGGGCUGAUGGGUAUGUUGCUCUGCGGUCCGUCUCGGCCUGGGCAGAGCCCCUGGAGGAUAGGUAGGUUCUGUAAUGGCCGUGCUUUCGUGGGGCCUGUGCACUCAUACUUCAUUUUGCAGAGGCAGUUCCGGGGGCUCUACCUGAGAAGAUAAGGCUGCUCUCGGGAGAGGGGCAGGCACCAGGGGCCCUGGCUCUCCUUCCAGGGGCUCACACAGCUUGUGCGUGGCCUGCCUUCCUCCCGCGACCUUCCCUUCACGGCCCCCAAAUCCCAGCUCAGGAGGACAGCUGGGCUAGUUUCACCCUCGCUAUUUCCCCUCCUCUGUCUGCGCCCCCAGGAUGGGCAGGGGCCGACGGCAUGUGCCAGGACCUGGCUGUCUUCCCCGCUCCACGUGGAUGCUCGGGGUCGGCAGAGGUGAGCGGCAGGCAGAUCUCUCCGUCCCACAGGACCGUCUACUCCAUCCUCCCGGCCUCAUCGAGGGCAGGGCUGCUUGGAGCCAGGGAAGAAACCACCUAAAAAUCUCCUUAAGAAGAAUCGUAAAACUCCCUUCCUUAAGACGUGUGGGCUCCCGUUUCUACAAUUUUUAACCUGCUUGACGAGCCAAUGCCUCCGAUGUCUAUCUGAAAGUGUCCUCUAAGGUGGGGACCAGGUGAGGCCGGUGAGGCACCCCAGAAGUGGAAUCGGAGGAGGCGCUCACUCCCAGGUCGGGGAAGAGCAGGGUCAUGACCUUGAGACAGAGGCCCCUCAAGUCUCUCACCCUGGGCAUCUCACCUAGUUCCUUCUCUGGUGCUGUCUACUCCCCAUCCCUGAUCCAUUAGGGGGCAUCUGAGGGUGAACAGUUUGAUGUCGAAGCUAGACUUUUAUCUUCUCCUCCUCAAGGGGACAGAAGAACCACUCAAAACAGAAGGUACUCAGGUUCUGAUAAACUGAAUGCAGUUACCAGACAGCCCAGCAAUUGCACUCUUGGGCAUUUGUCCCAGGGACACAAAGUCCCAGACGCCCUUCAGGGGGUGAGUGGCUAAGGAAAGAGAGACAUGUCUGCCCCACGGGCCACCACUCGGUGAUAAAAGGAACGAACCACGGAUGCGUUCAACACCUACAGCACAUCCACUCCCGUUUGUGGGUCUUGUAGAUGUCUAGAAGCCAAACUUUGUCAAUGAGCAAGUAACGCCUCGUCCAAACACCAGGGACCAGCACCACUAGACCUGUGGGGCACUGGAACAGCAAAACACAUUUUCUCUGGAGGACAUGCUUAACAUUUGAUCAAUGUCUCUAGUAGUCCUUUGUGAAAACAAGUCCUCUGUAGGUCUUGACUUGUACAUCACUUGUAAGGUGCUUUGUUUGCCUGAUAAUAUCCGGCACAGGACUAGGAACGGGGGGCAAAGCAGACAGCAGCUGAGGGUAGGGAACAGAACAUCAAGCCAGGGCUGGGCUGAGCCUGACCUCUUGGGGACCAGCCAGCGUGUUCUGUGCGAGCUUAUUGGCCCAGCCCUUCCUGGUGGCUAGACCUUCUCAACCAGGGGUCCCGCAGAGCAAGCAGGACUGUGGAUGCAGUCACGUGGCCAGCAGCCCCACUGGCCUGUCCUCACCCACUGGCCACGCACACAAGUUUGGCUCCCCAUCAGGAGACCCUUUGGACAGGUACCGGCCCCCCCAAAGCUGGUGCUACCUCUCUAGACUUUAUAGAAGGAGUCAUGGCAUACCGCUGAAUUUUAUAAGCCAUCAGUUUGAACAACAUAACUUUUAGACAUGUUUCUCAGGGUGUUACUCUGGGUCACAAAAAUAUAACGUGAUCCAGAGAAUAACUCCUUUCCUUUUUUUAAAAAAAUGGGGAAACCACAGCACAAACAAGGCUGCUUCCCCAGGUCACAUGGAGAGGUCUGUGUCAGCCUCCAAACAGCCAAGGCAACUCAACCUCACCCAGGCUCAUGACUCAGAAGUGGAAGUCUCUGCCACAAAACCCAAACCCAGAGUCCAAACCCUGCGUGUAAGCGGGGGAGCUUCAAGGGUCAAGGCUCAUGGUCUCACAAGAGAAGUCAGCUCACAGAAGUCAUCACAGGGAAAGAGGAUGCUUUGUCAGUGACACAAAUAAAAUGAUGGAGAGAAUGGCUAUUGCGAGUAUGACAGGGUUGCCAGUUUAAUUGUAAACAACCGGAAAAAGGUCACAAGAUGUGUUUUCCAGAGAGUCUGCAAAUUCCAGCAGGGUUUUCUUUUUAAUUUUUUUUAAUGUAUUUAUUUUUGAGAGAGAGAUAGAACACAAGUAGGGGAGGGGCAGAGAGAAGGGGAGACACAGAAUCCGAAGGAGGCUCCAGGCUCCCAGCUGUCAGCACAGAGCCUGAUGCGGGGCUUGAACCCAUGAACUGUAAGAUCAUGACCUAAAGUUGGAUACUUAGUCGACUGAGCCACCCAGGCGCCCCUCCAGCUGGGUUUAAUAGAGCAAUUCUAUGUAUUUCAGCUGCCAGUUUGCAGGAGAAGUGCUGGGAAGUGGUUGGAUUCUGGAUAUAUGUUGAAGGCAAAGCAGACAUAAUUUGCAUGUGGUGGAGAUGCAGGGGUGCGAGGAGAAGGGACAGCAAGGAUGAGGCCAAGGCAGUGGCUCUUUGUCUCCAGAUGUGUAGGGGUGUGUGUGACUUCACUGCCCCCUGUCCUGGAGCCCCUUCUGUCACAGGCUUCCCUUUCUUCCUCCAAAACGAGGGGACAGGGGCAAUGUUGGCUUUUCUUACAGAAGAUGUCAGGAGCCAGUGACCCCUGCGCCCAUGGCCACCCGGCUGUGAGUGUCCAGACCGAAGUCACCCAUCAGCUACACUCACGCCCGGGAGUAGUUGCUUAGCAAACGUUCCCACUUUCCAGUCCUGGUUGCUGCUACCUAGGAGAUGUUUGGACGGACAAAGCACGGGACAGAUGGCUACCGAGGGACAGGGACAGCUGGUCGUACUUUUCAACCCUUUUGUGGUUGUGACCCACCAGAAGAAAUAUCUUUCACAUCACAAGCCAGGAUGCACACUCAACACACACACACACACACACACACACAUACACACACAGCCUUCUGUAUUCUCUUCUCUCCCAUUUAGGUUCAUUUUUUUUAAAUACAGCUCAAAACCCACUAAAUAGACACACAGUUCUGCAAAUCCCUCUUUCAUACAACGCGGGACAAGAAUAUUCUUCCUGUCUGAAACUGAGGACACGGUUUGUGACCCCAGUCAUCUGUUGAAGGUGCCCACUGUCCUUGGAGGUUGGAGAAGCAGAGGCAGGUAGGUGCCUUUAGGAGACGCGCUUGCCCUGCAGGUACUGAGUUUGCAAGAGAAAUGCCAAGAAAUCUGACUUUAGUCCUCCUGGGGUCCCAGGACCAUGCCCUUGGGCUCAAGUCGUCACCCAGUCCCGUGGUGGCUGCCGGGCUCAGGUGGGGUUACAUCGACCCCUCUUCUGGGAUCGGAGCUCUGGGCGCCGAGUGAGGCACUGUCUUGUUUGUUGUCUCAUCUUGGGGUGGCCAGAGAACAAGCCCAUAGAUCAUUUCCUUACCGCUUUUUAAAGAGAUGAUCUCUAUGGAGACACAGACAGAGGACAACACAAGUAACCAACGCAGAGAAAGUUCUCAGAACAUUACAAGGGCUCAUACUGUCUUGGGACCAAGGCCUUCGGAGAAUGGCAGCUUCAAUUGUCACCUUCCAACUGUCCCUUCCUUUCAUGAAGGUCCAGCAAGGACUUCAUUCUAACCCAUGUUUAUCAGCCACCCGCCACUGACAUCCUUAAGGACCUCAAUUUAAAUUGUUUUCAUGGGGCGCCUGGGUGGCUCAGCCAGUCAAGCGUCCGACUCUUGAUUUCAGCUCCGCUCUUGAUCUUGGGGUUGUGACUUUGGGCCCCACAUUGAGCUUUGCGCUGGGCAUGAACCCCACUUUAAAAAAAAAGGAAAGAAAAAACUAGAUUGUUUUUGUAAGUCAGACUUACUAUAUUUUGUAACCAUUGAUCGGUGUUUAUGAUCCGAAGUCCAGCCUUUUCUAUAGGCCCUCCUAUUCAUUUUGAUAACUUUAAAUUUGUGACUCUUGAGUGUUCUAGGUACACAAUCGCAUCAUAGGCAACUAAAGAUAACUCUGCCUCUCUUAUUCUAAAAGCUGUAUCUUUUAUUGUUUCUAGAACUUCUAGAGCAAUGUUAGAACACAGUAGUAGAACAUGGCAGGACUCUAUCUCUGAUUUUAUUGGAAAUGCUGCCAGUUCCUUACCCUUAAAGCAUAAUAUUGCCUAUUUGGUAUAAAUUACCCAAAAAGAAUGGUGGUCGAACUUUAUUAAAUGCCUCUUCAGCAUCUAUUGA